GAUGAACGCUGGCGGCGUGCUUAACACAUGCAAGUCGAACGGGAAACAUUUUAUUGAAGCUUCGGCAGAUUUAGUUUGUUUCUAGUGGCGGACGGGUGAGUAACGCGUGGGUAACCUGCCUCACACUGGGGGAGUAACAGUCAGAAAUAGGUUGGCUAAUACCGCAUAAGCGCACAGGACCGCAUGGUCCGGUGUGAAAAACUACCGGUGGUAUAAGAUGGACCC
rnacentral:rRNA from 1 species